rnacentral:rRNA from 1 species
GCAGUCGAACGAACUCUUCGGAGUUAGUGGCGGACGGGUGAGUAACACGUGGGAACGAUGCCUUUAGGUUCGGAAUAACUCAGGGAAACUUGUGCUAAUACCGAAUGUGCCCUUCGGGGGAAAGAUUUAUCGCCUUUAGAGCGGCCCGCGUCUGAUUAGCUAGUUGGUGAGGUAAAGGCUCACCAAGGCGACGAUCAGUAGCUGGUCUGAGAGGAUGAUCAGCCACAUUGGGACUGAGACACGGCCCAAACUCCUACGGGAGGCAGCAGUGGGGAAUCUUGCGCAAUGGGCGAAAGCCUGACGCAGCCAUGCCGCGUGAAUGAUGAAGGUCUUAGGAUUGUAAAAUUCUUUCACCGGGGACGAUAAUGACGGUACCCGGAGAAGAAGCCCCGGCUAACUUCGUGCCAGCAGCCGCGGUAAUACGAAGGGGGCUAGCGUUGCUCGGAAUUACUGGGCGUAAAGGGAGCGUAGGCGGACAUUUAAGUCAGGGGUGAAAUCCCGGGGCUCAACCUCGGAAUUGCCUUUGAUACUGGGUGUCUUGAGUAUGAGAGAGGUGUGUGGAACUCCGAGUGUAGAGGUGAAAUUCGUAGAUAUUCGGAAGAACACCAGUGGCGAAGGCGACACACUGGCUCAUUACUGACGCUGAGGCUCGAAAGCGUGGGGAGCAAACAGGAUUAGAUACCCUGGUAGUCCACGCCGUAAACGAUGAUUGCUAGUUGUCGGGAUGCAUGCAUUUCGGUGACGCAGCUAACGCAUUAAGCAAUCCGCCUGGGGAGUACGGUCGCAAGAUUAAAACUCAAAGGAAUUGACGGGGGCCCGCACAAGCGGUGGAGCAUGUGGUUU